rnacentral:tRNA from 1 species
GGGCGAGUGGCGGAAUGGCAGACGCAGCGGACUUAAAAUCCGCCGCCGCAAGGCAUGAGGGUUCGACUCCCUCCUCGCCCACCA